CUCAUGGUAGUAGAAGAGUUAAUACGGUGGAGUUAAGUUCCGAUGGUAAGCGGAUGCUUCUGUGAGA
rnacentral:tRNA from 1 species